rnacentral:rRNA from 1 species
GAUCAUGGCUCAGGAUGAACGCUAGCGGCAGGCUAACACAUGCAAGUCGAGGGGCAACGCGAGUAGCAAUACUUGGCGGCGACCGGCGCAAGGGUGCGUAACGCGUGAGCAACAUGCCCGUAUCAGGGGGAUAAUCCAGGGAAACUUGGUCUAAUACCCCAUAGUAAUUUUGUAAGGCAUCUUAUAAGAUUUAAAGCUUUGGUGGAUACGGAUUGGCUCGCGUGACAUUAGCUGGAUGGUAAGGUAACGGCUUACCAUGGCUAUGAUGUCUAGGGGUUCUGAGAGGAAGGUCCCCCACACUGGAACUGAGACACGGUCCAGACUCCUACGGGAGGCAGCAGUGAGGAAUAUUGGACAAUGGAUGGAAAUCUGAUCCAGCCAUGCCGCGUGAAAAGGAAGAAGGUCCUAUGGAUUGUAAACUUCUUUUGUAUGGGAGCAAUAAGGCCUACGAGUAGGUUGAUGAGAGUACCAUACGAAUAAGCACCGGCUAACUCCGUGCCAGCCGCAGC